ensembl:lncRNA
CAAUGAUAUAACAUCUAUAGAAGAGACAGGAAUGCUUAUGGGGGAGGUGUUGUAUAUAUUCAGAGCCAUAUCCCUGUAAUGUUUAUAGGGGAGGUGUUGCUGUAUAUAUUCAGAGCCAUAUCCCUGUAAUGUUAAUAGAGGAGGUGUUGUAUAUAUUCAGAGCCAUAUCCCUGUAAUGUUUAUAGGGGAGGUGUUGUAUAUAUUCAGAGUCAUAUCCCUGUAAUGUUUAUAGGGGAGGUGUUGUAUAUAUUCAGAGCCAUAUCCCUGUAAUGUUAAUAGAGGAGGUGUUGUUGUAUAUAUUCCGAGUCAUAUCCCUGUAAUGUUUAUAGGGGAGGUGUUGUAUAUAUUCAGAGCCAUAUCCCUGUAAUGUUUAUAGGGGAGGUGUUGUAUAUAUUCAGAGCCAUAUCCCUGUAAUGUCAAUAUGGGAGGUGUUGUAUAUAUUCAGAGCCAUAUCCCUGUAAUGUUUAUAUGGGAGGUGUUGUAUAUAUUCAGAGCCAUAUCCCUGUAAUGUCAAUAUGGGAGGUGUUGUAUAUAUUCAGAGCCAUAUCCCUGUAAUGUCAAUAUGGGAGGUGUUGUAUAUAUUCAGAGCCAUAUCCCUGUAAUGUUUUUAGGGGAGGUGUUGUAUAUAUCCCUGUAAUGCUUAGAGAAGAUCUUAAGUGUUAUUAAAGUGUGGUGUUUGCAGGUUCACUUGGCACUUCAUCUAAAGCCUUUCUUUGGGGUGUUGCUAUAGGCCACCAAGUGCUAACAGUCAGUAUCUAAAUAAUAUGUGUGAAAUUCUUGAUAGUGUAUGUGUAACACCCUGAUCUGUUUCACCUGUCCUUGUGAUUGUCUCCACCCCCUCCACUUAUUAUCCCCGGUGUAUUUAUCCCUGUGUUUCCUGUCUCUCUGUGCCAGUUCGUCUUGUAUGUUUUUCAAGUCAACCAGUGUUUUUCCCGUACUCCUGCUUCUAUUCUCUUUUGUUAGUCCUCCUAAUUUUGACCCUGACCUGUUUUCUGGACUCCGUACCUGCCUGCCUGACCAGUCUGCCUGCCCUGACCUCGAGCCUGCCUGUCACUCUGUACCUCCUGGUCUCUGAACUGGUUUUGACCUUUGACCUGUCCACGACCAUUCUCUUGCCUCCCCCUUUUGGAUUGUUUAAUAGAUAUCAAGACUCAAACCAUCUGCCUCCCGUGUCUGGGUCCCCCUUAUAGUAUGUUCUGGAAACAGAGAGGUCUUACAUUUUGGGGACCUGAAUAUCAGUGGUGUAAAGUACUACUUCAGUUGUUUUUUUGGGGGGGUAUCUGUUAUUUACUUUACUAUUUAUGUUUUUACCAACUUUUACCUUUACUUCACUACAUUCCUAAAGAAAAUAAUAUACUUUUUACUCCAUACAUUUUUCUUGACACACAAACGAGACCCAAAAGUACUCGUUACAUUUUGACAGGAAAAUGGUCCAAUUCACGCACUUAUCGAGAGAACAUCCCUGGUCAUCCCUACUGCCUCUGAUCUGGAGGACUCACUAAACAGAGAACAUCCCUGGUCAUCCAUACUAGCCUCUGAUCUGGAGGACUCACUAAACAGAGAACAUCCCUGGUCAUCCCUACUGCCUCUGAUCUGGAGGACUCACUAAACAGAGAACAUCCCUGGUCAUCCCUACUGCCUCUGAUCUGGAGGACUCGCUAAACAGACAACAUCCCUGGUCAUCCCUACUACCUCUGAUCUGGAGGACUCGCUAAACAGAACAUCCCUGGUCAUCCCUACUGCCUCUGAUCUGGAGGACUCGCUAAACAGAGAACAUCCCUGGUCAUCCCUACUGCCUCUGAUCUGGAGGACUCGCUAAACAGAGAACAUCCCUGGUCAUCCCUACUGCCUCUGAUCUGGAGGACUCGCUAAACAGAGAACAUCCCUGGUCAUCCCUACUGCCUCUGAUCUGGAGGACUCACUAAACAGAGAACAUCCCUGGUCAUCCCUACUGUCUCUGAUCUGGAUGACUCACUAAACAGAGAACAUCCCUGGUCAUCCCUACUGCCUCUGAACUGGAGGACUCACUAAACAGAGAUCAUCCCUGGUCAUCCCUACUGCCUCUGAUCUGGCGGACUCACUAAACAUAUAAAAUAUUUGUUGGUCUGAUGUGAUUAAUGAGGAGCAUCCAGACGCUGCACUUGAUGAACUCAUGAAAUUGCUUCUUCCAGUUAUUGAUAAACAUGAACCUGUUAAGAAACUGACUGUUCGAACUGUAAAGGCUCCAUGGAUUGAUGAGGAAUUGAACAACUGUAUGGUUGAAAGAGAUGAGGGCAAAAGGAGUGGCUAAUAAGUCCGGCUGCACAUCUGAUUGGCUGACUUACUGCAAACUGAGAAAUGAUGUGACUAAACUCAACAAGAAGAACAAGAAACUGUAUUAUGAAGCCAAGAUCAACGACAUAAAGAAUGAUGGGGAAAAAUGUUGGUGUACUUUAAAUGCAGUGGCGAUUUUAGCAUGUAAAUCUUGAUGGGGAAAAAUAGAUGCGCUGCUUUUUUGACACCACUCUCCAAAAAG